rnacentral:lncRNA from 1 species
UACAGCUCUGCUUUAACACCCACCUCCUAUAUGAACAAGGUCUCAAGGUCUUGCAAAGGUAACCUGUUGGAGCAAGCCUUGGUCUUUGCAAGCCAAGCAUAUUCAAGGGAUUUUACGAAGGGACUGUGUAUGCUGAUGUGGGUGAGGCUAAGGAAACAGACAAGAAAUAUUGAUGUCUCCAGGGACCCACACACACAUAAAGGGGGAUCCAGCAUUCCUUUAAGGCUGUACCUAAAAGCUGAGGGAGUAAUGUUUCCAGAACCUGGGUGAGAAUCGGAGCAAUAGGAGAAGAUGUCACCAUACAGGGAUGAAGCCCUGGGCAGAACCAUACUGAAGCAGGAAAUGCAGGAAACAAGGAUCUCUGCUGCUCUCCCCUCUAGAUUUGCAAUCCUCUGCCAGUUUCUUGCAUGGACUGAAACCAACUAGAUGCUGCGGAGCAGGAAACCCCAUGGGACAUGGGCUGUAAAAGUCAGCGUCCCAUAUUGUGAAGUGUGCAACAGCAGCAGAGACAGACAGAGAGUUAAUCCAGGAUUUCUUUUCCACUUACCUACACGAUAGGACAUUUAGAGCCAGUUGUUGAAGUCUAAUGGAUUGACUGAGAUUGUUCCAUCUUACUCUUUUUAGAGGCAAAUAAAGAGGAUCAAUCAAACUUCUAAUCUUGAAUUCUGCAUUUGCAUAAAGAACUCUGGGGAGUAUCGUCCACUUUCAAUAGCAGGAGGUAUGAACUUAUUUUCACAAUAAUCAGAUGACAGGUAAGUUAUACUGCCUGCAUUUCCAGAGCACUCAAGGAUGGUUUUUAAAUGCCCAUCUUUGAACUCCAUUGAUUAGCUAAUAAAAAUUAAGGUUCAGGAAUAUCAAUGCAAUCCUUAGUAUGAAAACCUACAUGAGACCAGCAUGUACAUGGAUGGGAGCUAUGAACUUACUAAAAAGAAUGAGGAAAGUCUCUCUGGUGCAUUGUGACAGGUGCAACUUCAUUUCCCUACUUUCUAAUUCUUGUUUGUCUUUCAAGUCAAGGGAAGAAAUGUGGAUUUGGGACUGGAAAGCAGGUUUAAAUCUGUUUGACUUCAGAUGAUUAACCUUAGACCUCAGAUACUCAAUUUCUGACAAACACAUGGUUAAUAAACACUUUACAAGAGUUGUUGAUGUAAUAGUAAGGUGCUUAUACGAUCACCUUGACAUUAAUAAAGUCUAAUGCAGAUGUGUUU